rnacentral:rRNA from 1 species
AACGAACGCUGGCGGCAGGCCUAACACAUGCAAGUCGAGCGCGCCCUUCGGGGUGAGCGGCGGACGGGGGAGUAACGCGGGGGAACGUGCCCUUGUCUACGGCAUAGCCUCGUGAAAUUGAGAGUAAUACCGUAUACGCCCUUUGGGGGAGAGAUUUAUCGGCAAAGGAUCGGCUCGCGUUUGAUUAGGUAGUUGGUGGGGUAAUGGCCUACCAAGCCGGCGAUCCAUAGCUGGUUUGGGAGGAUGAUCAGCCACACUGGGACUGAGACACGGCCCAGACUCCUACGGGAGGCAGCAGUGGUGAACCUUAGGCAGUGGGCGCAACCAUGAUCUAGCCGUGCCGCGUGAGUGAUGAAGGCCUUAGGGUUGUAAAGCUCUUUCAGCAGGGAAGAUAAUGCCGGUACCAGCAGAAGAAGCCCCGGCUACCUCCGU